UAAAAAUGAACAAUCCAACAAUCUAUUGUUUUAAGAAUUGGUCAUAGUAAUGAAAAAUAAUGUUCUUAUAUGAAUUCUUCUACAAAAUUGUAACAAUGGAACACAUAUGAGAGAAAGAAUUGGGCAGCAUUUCUAUUGAAUUUUGGACAGCACUUCAAUUGAACUUUACACAGGAAAACAUCAAAUAUUGACAGCCAAACAAGGAAAUUUUGCAUAGCAUAACACUUACCACUUUGACAUAAAACUGAGAAAAUGUUAACAGCCAAACAAUGACUAGUGAAAACCACAUAAUACAAAGUUCAUAGUUCAUCACAAGUUCACAACAACAUUGUUGAAAGUGCAUGGUUCAUCACAACAUCAUUCAAGGUCCAUAGUUCAUCACAACAGCACACAUAAUUCGAAGUUCAUCACAACAAAAGAAAUGGCACGAGAUGAUCACGUUGACCUCAACAAUCCACAUGAGAAGAUCAUGUAGACAUCCAUCUUAGAAAUAGCAAGAGCAACACCCACAUGGCGAAUAUCGACAUGUAACACAGAUUUGUAAACUUGAUAUUCUCAAUAUGUCAAGAUAGGAAAACUGAGACAUGUAAAAACAUUAGUUACCAAUUGUUGUCACCCCCCACAUCAAAAAUCUUGGGCAACUUGAUAUUCUCAACAUCGUCCUCCUCAUCUUCGUCCCUCUCCUAAUUAUUUGUAAGUUAGCCACAUACAAGUAAUAUACAGAAAUCAUAGAAGAAAAAGAUAGGAACCAUACCACCACAUUGAAGUCCUUGUGAGAACCUUUGAUAUAACUAGCACCGCACACCAAGGCUUCCACCAUUUCUGGUUUCAAAGAACUCCUGUAGUCAUCUAAAACCACACAAGUAGACAUAUCUAAGUUUAAGCAUAGGAUGACAAGUUGACAAGCUAACAUCCAAUGUAACAAGUAGACAUACCUAAAACUCUUCCACCCGUGCUGAAAGUUGAUUCCGAAGACACGGAGGUAGCCGGGACAGUCAAGAACCUCUUUGCCAUCAUUGCCAAUACGGGGUAUCUAGGUGCAUUCACCCUCCACCAAUCAAGAAGAUUGAACAUAGGAUCCAUUGCCUCAUUCAAGUCAUCUAGAUAGUUUCUAAGCUCACUUUUUGAUGGUGUUGAUGAAGUGGCUGAUAAGAAGGACUGAAACUCACAAUCCAUAAGUGGCAUCGAGGUACUUGUGUUGCAAUUGUUCUUGGCUGAAUCUGAUUUGUCACCAACCCAUCUGAAUCUGAUUUGUCACCAACCCCAGGCGGCACCACAAACAGAGUAUCUUGCUCUUCCUCGUCCUCCUCCUCAUCCUCUUCCACCUCUUCAUGAUCCUCCUCCGCUUGCUUAUCAUGCUCCAUUGCCUAGCACACAAAAACAGCACACAUGAGCUUGGACACACAUAUAUUUGACUUAUGGAUAGCAAAAACAUCACACACAUGAGCUUGGACACACAUAUAUUUGACUUAUGGAUAGCAAAAACAACACAUACAUGAGCUUGGACACACAUAUAUUUGACUUUUGGAUAGCAAAAACAGCAACACACAUGAGCUUGCACAAAAAUAUAUUUGACAUUUGGAUACCAAAAAGAGCACACACAUGAGCUUGGACAAACAUAUAUUUGACAUUUGGAUACCAAAAACAGAACAUAUGAGCUUGGGCACACAUAAAUUUGACUUUCAAAAAGCAAAAACAGCAUAUACACAAGCUUGCACAAAUAUAUAUUUUGCACGUACAUACCUGCGAAGAUGUAGCCUCCCUCUCAUAGUAGUUUGCGGAGCCGGAGGCAACGGCGAUUCCGGCAAGCACGCCAGCGCCGGUGGGGUCAGGGAGACGUCGAGGCGGAGGUUUCUUUUUUACCCUAUACAACAACUCAGCGAUUGGGACAUUGCUGGAAUCAUUUGUCAACUUCAUCGGCAGCCGUGUAGUAGCUGCUGCAUUGCCCUUCCCAUUCCCCUUGUGCAUCCCCGAGACCGGCAACUUUCUCUUCAUAAUGGAGUCCAACGUCCUCU
rnacentral:lncRNA from 1 species